CCUUUUCGGAGACAAAGUGGGGAUUAACAACGCAGUCUCAUUAGCUUCAGCCACUGCGCAACAGCUAGCUAAUCUUUCCACCAGGUCAGCGUGCGUGUGCGUGUGCUUAUGAAUGUGCACAGCCAUUGUGGUUCUCAAAUGGCCCGCAUAGAGAGAGAGAGAGAGAGAGCGGAGCGAGCGAGAGGGAGAGAGAGAGAGAGAGAGAGAGGGCAAGCCUGGGGCCGAUCCGCUACUUUUUUUUCUGACCGGCUAGGGUCCCGUUAGUUAGUUGGAUGGAAUACGCGCUCCAGCUCAUGUUGUUACCUCGGAUCCAACUACUGCCCCGUCUGAAGGAAGAGCCGACUUUUAAACACCAUCAGAGGGGAGAAGGAGCAUCAUCCAUGUUAUCCUCAAACUCAAGGAUAUCACAGUAAUUUCUCUUGGACUUGGACUGGGCAGGCAAGGUGUAAAGGAAUGCCCACUUUCCUCCAGUUUGCUGGGUUGGUUCUGGCUCUGUCCAUCCCCGGCAUAACAUCCGAGUCAGCCACUCUGCGGUUCUCGGGGCAGACAGACUUUGUCGUCAACGAGAGUAGCACAGCUGUGGUCCGCCUGGUUGUGGAGAGAGUGGGAGACCCUGUGAAUGUCACGGCCUUGGUUCUGCUGGAGGGAGUCGACACAGGCGAUUUUGAGGCUAUUACUGCUGCAGCCUUUCUGCUCGCCACCGAAUCCAGUAAGACCAUCUUCAUUGCCACGAAGGACGAUGACCUGCCUGAAGCUGAUGAAAAGUUUACCUUCAACCUCACUCUACAGAGUUCCUCCAAUGGCGUGACGUUGGGAACACCCAACAAGGCCACUAUAACCAUCCUGUCCAAUGACAACGCCUUUGGAAUCAUUGCCUUCAACACGACUGAGGAGGUCGUCGUUGACGAACCAAGAGGAGGAAAUUUGUUAGUGCCGCUAACCCUAAUCAGAGAAAAGGGGACAUAUGGGACAGUGACUGUGAACUUUGAGAUCUCUGGUGGUCCCAAUCCUGCCUUUCAGGAUGUCACCCCUGAAAGAGGAAAUAUCACCAUUCCUCUUGGACAUGCUGCUUUUCACUUCAAUGUCCUCAUCCUGGAUGACCAGAUUCCAGAGGAUGAUGAAGUGUUUUCAGUGAGACUCACAGGCGUGGGAGGCGGAGCUGUCCUCAGGCCCAACAGCAGCAGUGUUCAGCUGAGGAUCCGGCGUAAUGACAGCCCACUGAGGUUCUCACACUCUGUCAGAGCAGUAACAGAGUCUGCAGGAGUUAUCACCCUGAAUGUGACACGCGGUCGGAUGACCGAGGACGGGCCACUCCUUGGCUCUGUUGACACUGAGGUCUCUGUGGAUUACAUGAUAUUAAGUGGCAAAGGACUGGUCAGCGCCACACUAGGUGAAGACUUCCUCGACUUGCAACCAGUCAAAACAGUCACCUUCCCUCCAUUUGUCUACAAGACCAGCCUGCUGUUUAACAUCACAGAUGAUGAAGUGCCAGAAAUUGCAGAGUCCUUCCAAGUGGUCCUGCUGGAAGAGAGCAUUAAAGGAGAUGCAGUGCUAGUUUCACCUAAUGCUGUGCUUGUCACCAUCGAGCCUAAUGAUAAGCCUCACGGUGUCCUGUCAAUCAGCAGCAGUGUGGUCAAUCAGCCAAUCAGCAUCAACGAAGACCUGACACAAAGAUUUGACGGCAUUGUUAUUGUGAGGAAUGGCGGUAGCUAUGGUGACGUGUCUGCCAACUGGUCCAUCAGUCGUAACUCAAGUGACCUUUUGCCGGUUUCUGACGACUUGAUGCCUGAGGCAGGGGUGGUGAGCUUUGCUGCCGGACAGGUGACCACUGUGAUUCCAAUAGAUAUUGUGUCGGACGAGAUACCUGAAGAGGCAGAAGCUUUUGUGCUAAGACUGCUGCCGCAUACUGUGACUGGAGAUGCUGAGGUUGACGAACCCAUGGAGAUGGUGUUUUACAUCCAGGACAGUGAUGACGUCUAUGGGAUAUUUCGUUUCAACCCAGAAAGAGAGCAAAGCAUCCAAAGCCAACCCGAAGGCCGUUUUCUGUCACUAAACUUCCUGCGGGAAGGCGGCACCCUGGGUGAAGUGUCAAUGAGUCUCACUGCCCUCUACAUUCCCGCAGGUCCAAUAGACCCAGUGCUGGCGCUAGACAAGGUUCUGAAUGUUAGCAGAACUGUGAAUGUUGUCUUCUCUCGUGAACGUACGGUCCAUUUUGUUGUACCGAUCAGGAACGAUGCUUUUCUGCAGAAUGGAGCUCAUUUCUUUAUACAGUUGAAUUCACUGGACCUUGUUGAUAUCACUCCUCCUAUUCCCUCAAAAAGCCCAAGAUUUUGGGGACCUCUCGACCUCACCUUGACAGUCACCCCUGACAUUGCCAAUGGAGAAAUUGGUUUUACGAGUAAUAGCACAAUUGUGAUUUAUGAACCAGAGGACAGCAACAUCAGCAUUGUGAGCCUCCCAUUGCAGCGUGAUGGCACUGAUGGUCAGGCUGUAGUGUUGUGGAGUCUUAAGCCAAUCAGAGCCAACCGUGCGGAUGUAACCGCAAAUGAUCUGACACCUUUCAACGGCUCUGUUGUUUUCAUGUCCGGACAGAGCGACGCGGCCAUCAAUCUCACUAUCAUGGCUGACAAUACGCCAGAAGUAAACGAGACCAUGCUGCUUACCCUGGAUAGGACUAAUGUUGAAAAUCAGAUACUGAAAGCUGGCUAUACAAGCAGAGAGAUUGUCAUCAUGGAAAACGAUGACCCUGGGGGAGUCUUUGAGUUCUCGCCGUCCUCCAGAGGUCCAUGGGUCAUCAACGAGGGUGAAGCAGUGGAGCUCCAUGUGGUCAGAGCUCAGGGACAGCUGCUGAAACAACUGGUGCGAUAUGCUGUCAUGCCUGCAGGCAACACAGAAUUCUAUGGCUCCACGGGCAUCUUGGAGUUUAAACCAGGCGAGAGAGAGGUAGUGGUGGCUCUGGUGGCGAAGCCAGAUGCAGUGCCAGAGAUGGACGAGACGUUCUUGGUGAUACUUAGCAGCCACAGCACUCCCCCCAGUCGUCUCGGCAGCCACAGGGAGGUCAACGUCACAGUAAGGAGAAAUGACGACCCCUUUGGAGUCAUCCAGUUCAUGCAAUCAGGAGCGACAGUGGUCAUAAGUGAGAGCAAAGACAAUGAGGCACACCAAGCAACCUACACUGUGGAGAGAAACCGGGGGCUCUUUGGAGAGGUUUUGGUUUCCUGGAUCCUUGAGCCAGCUGCUUCCGAAGAUGUUAGCCCCAUCCAGGGAAACAUCACAUUCAAGGAGGGGGAAUACUUGAAAAACUUCACUCUUCUCUCUUUACCUGAUGAGAUCCCUGAAGGCAUGGAGAAUUUCACUAUCACAUUGGUGAACGUGAGUGGUGGAGCAAAGCUGGGAAACAGUGUCACUGCCAAUUUAAACAUUAGCAAAAAUGAUGACCCUAUUUACUUUUCUGAACCCAUUGUUGUGCAGCUUCCGGAAGGAAGCAUAGCCAACUUCAGUGUUCUAAGGGCCGGACCAGCAGAUUAUGUCAGCACAGUGUCGUACUGUGUGAAAUUUGGUGAUGCGUCACCAGAAGAUCUCAACUUGCUGAGUAACGACACAUUGCUGGUGUACGACAUUGGGGAAUGGAUGAAGAACAUCUCUGUGGCCAUAGAGGAUGACAACAUACCAGAGACUGAUGAGCACUUCUCCAUUGUAUUGUAUAAUGCCACUGGUGAUGCUGUGGUUUAUGGAGCAGACACAGCUACUGUGGUAAUUGAGGCCAAUGAUGAUGCCAAUGGCAUUUUUUCACUGGAGCCAGUGGAAAAGAUGGUUGAGGAAGGAAAAAGCAAUAACGUCUAUGUCCUGAGAGCAAGGGGUCGUUUUGGCAAUGUGACAGUCUACUGGCAGCUUUAUGCCAAUGACUCCAUCACUCCACUGUUGGAAAAUGACGAGUUUACCAACACCAAUGGUUCUAUAACUUUCACCACUGGAGAACAGUCCAAAGCAAUCACUCUGGAGGCCAUUUCAGAUAAGCUUCCAGAAUUUAACGAGACCUAUGUCCUCAGGCUGGUUAAUAUCUCUGGUGGUUACCCAGGGGAUGGUGGCCGACUCGCUGAGACUUUUCUGAGUGCCUCGCUUGUGAUUCCCUUCAAUGAUGACCCGUUUGGUGUCUUUGCUAUUGCUGACAACAAUCUGGACCAAGAAGUAGCAGAAGAUGUACUGUCAGAAGACGAUAUGGCCGAUGUCACUUCCUGUACCAUCCUACGACAGCAGGGUACUUCUGGUGAUGUGCGGGUUGCCUGGGAGAUCGUAUCUGGACACUUUCCAGAGGGUCUUCCCGUGAUGGAUGACCUGCUACUUCUAGCUUCCUUCCCUGAUGAGGUAGUGCUCAGGCCUCAUGCCAGAAGACACCACUCAGCAACAGACACAUGGUUUUUCUCUGGACUUCCUGGAGCCUACGGGACGAUCUCCCUUGAAGAUUCGCCUGAUGUCCCAGGCAACUUUACAUUCUCUGCUUGGCUCGUGCCCAGAGCAGAUACAGAUGGCUUCAUUGUCUCCAAGGGAACCAGAAAUGGCACUUUCUAUUAUGGAGUGAAAAUCCACACCAAUGAGUCGCACGUCACAGUGAUGUUGUACUAUACAAUCCUGGAAUCAAACAACACCCAGAUGGCCCAGGCCACUGCUGCCAAAUUUGUUGAAGAUAAUACAUGGCUGCAUGUCAUUAUUACGGUUGAUGAUGGGAUUAUUGAGUUUUUCCUGGAUGGGACCCCCAUUCCUGGAGGACUGAAGAGCAUUAAAGGAGAAGGCAUUGCUGAUGUUUGUGGGCUGCAGUUUCAGCACCAUGGUCCUGCAUCUGUAUUUAUUGGGUCAGAUACGUCAGGCCAACAGCUGUACACUGGCCUUCUUCAGGACAUCCGCUUGUACAGGACCAAGCUCAACCGUAGCCACGUGCAUGAACUUCACACCCAGCCUGCCAAGACAGACCUGCGCACCAUCUCAGGUUACCUGCGCUAUCAGCCACUGGAAAAACAGAAAUCGUUUGUGGUGGAAGUCAAGGAUGAUGACGAAGAAGAGGGAGAAGAAGUGUUCUACCUGCAGCUGGUGGCCGUGCGGGGUGGCGCUCGCCUCCCCUUCCCCAGACCCACAGCUAUAAUACGAGUCAUGAAGAGUGACAAUGCCAAUGGGCUUUUUGGAUUCACUGGGCGCUGCAUACCUGACACUACUGAGGAGGGCUCUACUGUUUCGUGUGUGAUUGAGCGGUUGCGAGGAUCUCUCGACCACGUUUAUGUCAAUUAUUCUGUCACCCAAGUGAGUAAAUUGGACAGUGAGACGCCUGCAGAUCAGGAUUUUGUCAACUCCACAGGAGUUGUUCUUUUCAAGCCUGGACAGCGCUCUGAGGUACUGAACCUACUACUGUUGGAUGACAGCCUCCCCGAGUUGGCAGAAACCUUUCACGUCAGACUGGUGUCAGCAGAGUCCGGUGAUGGGAAGCCAGGCUCAACUCCCACCAGCGGUGCCAGCAUUGACCCCAAUAAUUCUGUUAAUGUUGUCACUAUAACAGCGAGUGACCACCCCUAUGGCUUACUGCAGUUCCAGUCUCAUCCUCCAGUGGAAGUCUUGAUCCCUCCUGCUCUAGAACCUGCGCAAAUCACAGUUAAUGAGGAAGACGGGCAGGUCCGUCUGCCAGUGGUCAGGGCCCAAGGCCUUGUCGGAAGGGUCAUGGUAGGAUACAGAACAACACCCUUCACAGCCUCAAGCCCUGAAGACUAUGAAGACUCAGAGGGGAUGUUGGACUUUCUCCCAGGAGAGAGAUUAAAGUUCAUUACUAUCACCAUCAUUGACAAUCCUGUCCCAGAGCUGGACAAGGCCUUUAGAGUGGAGCUCUACAAUGCUGAUGGAGGAGUGGAUCAGUUUCUGCAUGUUGAGGAAAGUGGUAGUGGGGAGAGUGACUCUGAUUUCCUGCCUUCAUCCUUUCUCCACCGUGCCAGCUUGGGAGCUGCAUCCCGCAUCACAGUUACCAUCACGGCUUCUGAUGAUGCCCACGGAGUGUUUGACUUCAGCCCUGACUCUUUGUCCAUUAAUGGGACAGAACCCGAGAACGGACAAAGCUCUGUUGUUCUACAGGUGGAUCGGUCCUUUGGUGAUCUCUCUAAUGUUACGGUCUACUGGGAGGCUGAUCCCAGCUCAAGGGGAGAACUCCUGAACCAGUUUGGUAACAUCAGCUUUGCAGUUGGUCAAACAUCAGAAAACAUCAUCAUCAAUGUGGCCCAGGAUGAAGUUCCUGAGUUGGACAAGAGCUUUGCCAUUUCCUUGGUUAAUGUGUCCCAUGGCCGUCUGGGUCUCAAGACUUCUGCUACUUUAACCGUGCUCGCCAGUGACCACCCUUAUGGUAUUUUUGUGUUUGCCAACACCACAAGGCCCGUUUCACUGCCUGAAGGUGACUCAUUUGUUACCCUCAAAAUCCUGCGACAGAAGGGCCUCACAGGACAGGUGCGAGUCACAUACAGGACACUAAAGGAAGCAGAUCCAGCACCAUACAGGACACCAGGAGUGGGCCGAGCCACCGAAGGGCGAGAUUUUGUUCCACUCCAAGAUUCAGUGGUUUUCUUGGCUCAUCAGAGUGAAGCAAACAUCACUGUCAGAGUGUUGGAUGAUGAGGAUCCAGAGAGAGACGAGUCUGUCUUUGUACAGUUGAUUCACGUUCAGCUCAUUGAAGGAGGGCAGGCGAGGCUCAUUUCCAAUUCCCCCUCUCUUGGCCCCAAGGUGGACAUUGUAGCCCAGGUGAUAAUUGAGGCUAGCGAUGAUGCCUUUGGUGUUCUCCAAUUGUCAGCUCCUGCUGUCAGUGUGACUGAAGACUAUGUUGGACCAAUUAUAAACGUCACACGCGUAGGUGGGAUAUUUGCCGAUGUAUCUGUAAAGUUCCGAGCCGUGCCUUUGACCGCCAGAGUCAGUGAAGACUACAGUGUUGCCUCCACUGAUGUAGUCCUUCUUGAAGGGGAAUCCAGUAAAUCUGUACCCAUCUAUGUUAUCAAUGAUGUGGUGCCUGAGCUGGAGGAGACUGUUGUUGUUGAGCUGAUCAACCAGACUACUGGAGGAGCUCUGCUGGGCGAACUCACACGUGCCAUCAUCACCAUAUUGCCUUCUGAUGACCCUUUUGGUGCUUUUGUCUUUCAUGCUGCCCCAGUCACCAUAAUGGAACCGGUUUCAAACUCCAUUGAUGUUGCUCUGCCAAUAGUUCGUAAUGCUGGUACUAUAGGGACAGUGGUUGUCCAAUGGCAGGCCACUGUCAAUGGUAAACUAGCUGUGGGGGACAUCAGACCCACAUCAGGAGAUGUAACCUUUGCUCCUGGAGAGACCAUGAAAACUCUCCGAGUGGAGAUCUUAGCUGAUGAUGUUCCUGAAAUCACUGAGAUUAUAAAGGUACAACUUACUAGUGCCAGCAAUGGUGGAAACCUUGGAGCUGAUACGUCUGUUAACAUUAAAGUGCCUGCCAAUGACAAUCCAUACGGGACAGUCUACUUUAGCCAGUCUGUUUACCGCAUCCAGGAGCCACUGGAAGGAGUUUUUGCAGCCAAUAUUACUGUCCACAGAGGAGACGGGCACUUUGGCCGCUUGCAAAUCCUGUACAGCACUGUAGAGAUUGACCCGGUCCGCUUAGCUCAAGCCGAGGGCCAGAACCUACUGACGUACUAUGACAUCCCAAAACCAGGGAUUCCAGCCAGUCUCCCUAAAGGGUCCAUUAACAUCACCAGCCAGAAGGAUCCCCUGGCUACAUGUGCAGCCGCUUGUCUCCGAGAGAGCGCCUGCCAAGCCUUCUCGCUGACAUCAAGCACAAUCCCUUCAUCCUGCACUUGGGUGACUUCAGGGGCUGAUGAACUUGAAAUAAAAUCCCAUGUCAUGACUUAUGUUAAAAACAUGACUGCGGCUGCUGUCUUGUUCAGUAGCCAGGCUGUGGCAGGGAGCGAUUACAUCCCUGUGAUGUCUCAAAGUGCCUUUAUGGAGGAUGGAUCAGGGGAAGCCAACCUCACAGUCCUUAUUUUGACUGAUAAAUUCCCUGAAAUGGAUGAAAGCUUUGCCAUACAGAUCUUACAGAUAGGACUGAUGAAUGUGACUGCGGCACAGAACAACCUGCCUACUAUUGGCCAGCCAGAUAAAGCAGUGGUCACUAUAGGCCUGAAUGGAGAUGCAUUUGGCGUAUUUUUGAUAUAUAGCGUCAGUCCCAACGCCACCAACCAGGGGCUCUAUGUUGAGGUUUGGGAAGAACCUUUGGUGGUGGUUCCCCUGGUCAUUGAAAGGAGAGGAGGGAACUUGGGUACGGUCACUGUAGAGUGGAGGGUUGUUGGAGGAAAAGCCACACCAGAUAGUGACUUCACAGGAACAGGGGGCACUCUGGUGUUUGAUGGUGAACUCAGCAAGAUCAUAGAGAUUGAAAUCAGAGAUGAUAUUGAGCCAGAAGACAAUGAGAACCUUAUGAUUGGUCUUGUUAACACGGAGGGAGGAAGUCGCAUCCUUCCCAGCUCGGAUACUGUCAACAUUGUGAUUCUGGCUAAUGAUAAUGUGGCCGGAAUUGUAGGAUUCCAUCCAGCAUCACGUUCAGUCAUCGCCAGAGAGGGUGAAAAGCUGUCCUUGUUAGUUUUGAGGACUGCUCCAGGUCUGGGUAAUCUCACGGUGGAUUGGGUUAUACAAGGUCCCCUGGUAGACCGGACAUUUACUCAUACUUCAGGAAGACUUUUAUUUAUUGAGGGAGAGCUGAAUGACACAAUUGUUCUGCAGCUUGUUGAUGAUGUCACACCAGAGGACAAAGAUGAAUAUAAAAUUUCCUUGACGAACAUCCAAACUUUCGGUCUUGCGGUGACAGGUCAUGCCACCCUUGACAUUCAAGGAAGUGAGGCGGCGCUGACAGUUGACACGAGUGAUGAACCAUAUGGAUUGUUGACCAUUGCACCAUCAUCCCUAAAGGUCACCACUGAGGAGCGAGAUCACACCAUAAACAUCUACAUCAACAGAGAGCUUGGAGGCUCGGGAGCCGUGAAUGUGACCUAUGAAGUUCUCAAAGGUUCCCUUCAGGACCUUUCCAAGGUAGAAGGAGCUCUUGCUGAACCAGGACAAGACUUCUUGGCUGGAAGUGGUUCUGUAAUUCUUCAGGAGGGUCAAACUUCUGUGGCCAUCCCUGUCACCAUACUGGAGGAUGACAUUCCCGAGUUGCAAGAAUACUUCCUGGUCAACAUUACAUCAGCAGUACUCAUUACAACUCUUGCCACUCUUCCUCGAAUAGCGGUUGCGUAUUGCACAUUACCAGACACUGAGCAUUUGGUGGCAGAAAUCAACAUUGCUGCUAAUGAUGGAAUUAGAGGAGUCAUUGAAUGGACAAACACAAUAUUUGAAGUGAACGAAACAUUAGGGAUUCUGACUCUGGUGGCCUACAGGAACAAGGGCACCCAUGGGAAUGUUUCUCUUUUCUUCUACGCUCAAAACCUGGAAGCUCAGCAAGGCCUGGACUACAACACCAAUGAAACGAUGCUCCAUUUUGUCAAUGGUGAAAGACACAAGUUUGUAGAGAUACAGAUCACUGAUGACAUCAUACCAGAGGGAGCUGAAAGAUUCCAGCUGAUAUUGUCUGAUCCCUCCCCUGGACUUGAACUUGGCAUCAAUACUACAGCCACCGUAAACAUCCUGGCAAGUGAUGAUGGACAUGGUGUCAUAUCUUUUAACACCAGCGAGCCUUUGUUACUGAAGGAGCCCACAUCAGAGUCACGGCUGAGUGAGAGCGUGGCUGUCCUCCAUGUGGUUCGAAACCCUGAAGAGGGCACUUUUGGUACUGUGACUGUCCAGUUUACUAUAACAGAUGCCAAUGGCAGCCUUGCAGAUGGUGAUCUAAUGCCAGCACAAGGGUUUGUGGUGCUGGAUGAUGGUGUAAAGUUUAAGAUGCUAGAGAUCCACGCAGUCCUGGAUGCUGAACCUGAAGUGAAUGAGACAUUCACAGUGAGUCUGUCCAACCCAACAGGGGGUGCACGGCUAGGUGGCCUUCUGCACACACUCAUUACUGUCCUUGAGAACCUUGCUCCCUCUGGCUUGUUCCGUAUCGGACCCACCCUUGAUAGAAGUAAUACGGAAGUGAUGGCAAAUGAAGGCGGUGGAACCAUUUUCAUCACUGUGUCUCGCAGCAACGGCCUAGAAUCCGCUGUCAGCGUUGAGUGGGAGACACAGUCUGACACGGCAGUUGCCUUAGAGGGACCGCUCUCAGUGAUGGGUUUGUACCAGAGCUUUGAGGACAGUCCCACUUCUGCUUGGUGUUCCCUUCCUGGAAUUCCAUCUAUGCUUGCUGUGAGGCUUGAUAAGAGUCCUGCUGUGGGAUCCUCCUACACUUUGGCCACCCUCUAUCGCUGGCAGGGUGUGUUUGUGCCAAUAGAGUCUGCUAGAAUUCAGGACCCAAGUUCUUGUGUUGGAUUUUCAGUUAAAAAUACCACCUACAUUGCCAUCACACAUGGUGGCGCUCCCUUUGCCCCUGCAGCCAACCUCAGCAUCUUAAAACUGCACAGGGACGUCAAUGUCACAUUGGAACAAAUCAUAGGCGUUGAAGCUUUGGAAGUGAGACACUUCUCAACUGAAGACAGAGAUUUUCUUAUCGCAUCAAGUCAGAUUUUUUUUUGGACUGGUAGCUCCUUCACCCUCCUGCAGACACUUGACUUAGAAGAAGAUAUCAUCAUCGUGACUCCAUUCACCCGUGCAGAUGCUGUUUAUUUAGUAGUUUGCUUAAACAGUGAGACGACCAGCUGCCUCCUUCUUCAAUGGUCUAGCGGAAGAUUUGGGAAUCCACAACGCCUCCCUGUCACAGGCAGAGCCAGCCAAGUGGAGACAGUCCAGACAGGGGCAGAUGACACUCUAUUGUUGGUAUUUCUUCAAGGUGUCCCUCCUUCCUGUGAAGUGCUCUGCUGGAGAUUCGGGCAGCUUUCACCUGAGUUGUAUCAGUCCAUCCCUCAUGCAGGCCUCACCUCAAUUCAUUCUUUUACAACUACCUCUCAACUCAUUUACCUCCUUCUAACUGGUAGAAAUAGCUCAUUCCUAUACUUCUGGAGGGCUGAUGUCAGCCUGUUCACAGCUAUACUGAAAGUCCCACCAGCAAUGAGAUUCCACUCCUUCAAAGUCCCAUCUCUCAACACCACCAAGACGCUCUUAGCUUCUUCCGAGGAAAACCGGUCCAGACUUUAUGAAUUAACUUCUGUCUCCAAUCAGUCCGACUUCAUUCCCAGCUUUGGCGAGCUGCACUUUUUACCCGGCGACAGUGAACUCCAAAUUGCAGUGAAUGUCAUAGAUGACGAUGUUCCUGAGGAGCAAGAGCAAUUCCAGGUCCGCCUUAAGAAUCCAAAAGGAGGGGCAGAGAUUGGAUUUGGUGGUCAGGUGACUGUCAUGGUUCCGAGUAACGACGAUGCCCAUGGAGUGAUUGGUUUUGCUAAGAAUUCUCUGUCUAUGGAGGUUGAAGAGCUGGAGCGAAAUCAUCAAAUCUCUCUCAUUGUGGAGAGGAGAAGGGGGACAUUUGGCCGACUGACAGUUCACUGGCGUGCCAAUGGGAGUCUGGCAGACAUUUACCCCACUUCUGGAGUGGUAGCCUUCUCAGAGGGCCAGUCGAUCGCCAUCAUUCCACUGACUGUGCUAGCAGAUGUUGUCGCGGAACUGAGAGAAAGUGUGACCAUCACCCUCAUGGAUGUCACCACCGUGGGGCUGCAGGACCUGCAAGAAGCAGCAAUUAUUGACAAGCUGCGGGCGAACGCUCUGCUCACCAUCCUGCCUAAUGGUUCCCCCUACGGGGUGAUUGGUUGGCAUCUAGACUCUCAGAUUACACUAACACAAGAACCACAUGGUUUUCCAGUCAAUCUGACUUUGUCCAUAGUCAGGGAGCAUGGCUCCUCAGGUAAGGUUGCAAUACAUUAUGACACCAGGCCAGCUUUGCACCAGCCUCCAUACAACCAGGCCACUGCUGAUCAGGACUACAUUGCCAAAGACAGCACUCUCAUUAUGACUGAAGGGGCAACUGUGGCCCUUGUGACCAUCACAAUCCUUCCAGAUGACAUCCCAGAACUAUCAGAGAGUUUCCUGGUAAACAUCACCAGUGUGGAGCUGGUUAACGGGCUAGCCACAGCAGGUCAUCCGUCUGUUAAGAGGCCAGGCAUGGAAGUUGCUGAAAUCACCAUCCAGGAGAAUGAUGACCCUCGAGGGAUCCUGCAGUUUGUUGUACCUCAGGAUGUACGUGGAAUCAUAGUGGCCUAUGAGAUCCCACCUCCUGACUAUAUCCUCCACCUGAAUGUGGUGAGACUUGCAGGUGUUACUGGAAGACUAAUCGCCUACUGGGAGGCUCAGCCUCUGACUGCUGAUCGUAAUGAUUUCAGCCCGUCAUCUGGCAACAUCACCUUUCAAGAUGGCCAGAGAGAAGCCAUUAUUGCCAUCACUAUCUUGGAUGACGACCAUGUGGAGGAUUUGGAGAGCUUCAGAGUGACUUUACUGCGUGUCAUUGGUGGUGCUCGACUUGGAGAUGUGACCUCUGUGACUAUCAGCAUUCCAGCCAAUGAUUCACCUCUAGGGCGAUUUGGAUUCCAGGAGCUAGAGGCUAUUGUAAGUGAGCCAGAAUUUGAUGAGGACCCCGCUGCUGAUGCUCGACUAGCAGUGUUGCGAAGUGAAGGAGGUGAAGGGGCAGUGACAUUGGUGUGGCAGCUGGAUGGCCAAGCUGUAAAUGACCUUUCACCUCUCAAUGGGACUCUUGUCUUCACUGAGAAUGAAUCAAUGAAGACUUUUGUGAUAAGAGCCCUUGCUGACAGCAUACUGGAGGGAGAUGAGCACUUCACUGUCAAUCUGUUUCCUGCAAGUGGCAGUGGUGCUGUCAUUGACCCUUUAAAUGACUUGGCGACCAUCACCAUCAUAGCAGACAAGGCUGCCCUUGGCAUCAUAGGGCUAGCAGAGUCCUCAAGGAGCAUUUUCAUUGGAGAACCUGACGGAUUAUACAAUGGCAGCACUGUUGUCAGCCUUAUUCGCGGGCCAGGUGUGUUCGGGGAGGUGCAGGUGCAUUGGAAUAUCACUCCUGCUUUGGUUGCUGAGUUUGAAGAGAUAUCUGGCACAGUAACUAUGAGGGACCAGCAGUCCUUAGCUUCUUUUAUUCUGAUGGUGGUCGAUGAUGAUUUUCCUGAGGAACGGCGUGAUUUCCAGUUAACCCUGACAUCCAUGUCACCAGGCCUGGAAAUCAGUCCCACUGCACGCCAUGCCAGGAUAAUCAUGGCAGCCAGUGACAACCCCUAUGGCCUGUUCUCCCUCACCCAGCAACAGAUCAGUGCAAAUGAGGAGGAGCAAGUUGUAAAUGUGACAAUUAAUCGCUCAUUAGGCACGUUGGGCAGCAUUUGGGUCACCUAUCAGACUACAGGCAGCACAGCAGUUAGCGGUGAGGACUUUGCUUCAGCUUCAGGGCGAUUGCUCUUCAUCCCUGGCCAGACGUCACAACAAGUCUCAGUGCGUAUCCAUGAUGACAGUCUUCCGGAGGGACCUGAGAUUUUCUUUUUUAACAUCACGGAAGUGGAUGUGGUAAAUAUCAGUGGUGUGGACUACACAGUGAAAGAGUCUGGUCUCCAGCUGGACCAGCCUCCAGUCAUAGGUGACAUCUCGUCUAUUGCUGUUGUAAUACUGAAGAAUGACAAUGCUGAGGGUGUCUUAGAGUUUAGAGAUGGCUAUGUAGACAUUACGGUUGAAGAGCAUGCAGGCACUUUGCUGAUCCCAGUGGUGAGGAGAGCCGGUUCUUAUGGAACCGUCUCAGCUGAGUACAUCUCCACGGGCCUGAGUGCAACUCCUGGUCUUGACUACAUCUUGAACAAUGGCUCAGUGAUGUUCUUCCAGGGCCAAGAAACUAGUUUUGUUAAUGUUACUAUUUUAGAUGACAUGCAAAGUGAAUAUGCAGAGGUGUUUGAGGUCUUGCUGGUUGGAGCCACAGGGGGAGCGGUCCUUGGCUUUCACAAAGUUGUCAGAGUUACCAUCAACAAGAGCGACUCUCCCAGCGGUGUGGUGCGGUUCCUCAACGAGAGCCUAAUCAGCAUUGUCAACCCAAACGACACUCGAAAACUCACGCUUGUCUUAGAGAGGGCAGGAGGCGUUGUGGGCAAUGCAACGGUUGCUUGGAUCAUUCUUGGACCAAACAGCAGAGACACUCUCCCUCAAUCCAAUACAGACAUUAGAGAGCCCUUGAACGGGUCGUUUUUCUUUAGUGAUGGAGAGGGAGGCAAACGCGUUAUUGUGCUGCGGAUCCUCCCUCAUGGUCAAGUGGAAAUAGAGGAGACAUUUGUAAUAGAGCUCAGCAUUCUGUCAGGUGAUAUGGACAUCGACCCUCAGGCUGGCUCCAUAACUCUAAAGAUUGAAAAAUUUGGGGACCCAAAUGGUGUAGUUCAAUUUACUGAGGAUAGUCUUCAAGAACGCAUCUACAGUGAACCCACAGAAGCAGAGGGCUCGAUUAACAUCUCCUUCCACAUUACACGUCGAGAGGGUAUCAUGGGUAAUAUAACGGUCCACUGGGAAAUACAGAGUGAAUCUGACAUAACUGGGGACUUCAUUGUAUUUUCUGGCACUGUGCUAAUCCGGGAAGGCCAGAGAGAGGCAGAAAUAGUGGUCACUCUGAUGCCUGACACUGUACCGGAGCUGGAAGAGCUCUACACUGUUCAACUCACAGCUGUAGAGGGUGGUGCUACCCUGGAUGGCAACUCAAACCUUUUACGCACCCACAUUAGGGUGUAUGCUAAUGAUGAGCCCCAUGGCGUCUUCUCCUUGAAUCCCGGGCAGCAGUCCGUGGUAGUGGAGGGGUUGGGGUUAGAGCCCCGCAGAGUUCUGAUUAUGAACGCAACUCGGCUUGCAGGGUUGUUUGGCAAUGUCAGUGUGGGCUACAGGAUCACUGAUGGGACCGAGGGGGUGAUGGACAUUGAGGUAUUUGUGGGAGGACAAGCUGAAGGACAACUGUUGUUCACAGAUGGGCAGGCUUUCAGUGUUGUCACAUUGCCCAUCAGCAACCAGGUAUUUUUAUCAUUGGGUGAGAGGUUCUCAGUCAAGCUAACUGAUGUAAUACUUUUGAGUGCUUUACUUGGCACACCACCCCGCCUCCACCAUCAGUCCACUGUUGCCAUGGUGACUGUACCAGAGGAAGCUGCCAGCUCAGAGGUGGGCUUUUCCUUUCUGGCCCUGCACGUUUCAAACAUUGAAACGGGGGAAUGUGAAGCCAAGGUGACACGAGCAGGGUUAUUUGGGGAUAUCAGGGUCGAGUGGAGAGCCGGGUAUCCUCCAGGACAAUCUCCACCUGGCUUUAGAAUUGGGUUGAUCACACCAAAUUCAGGCUCACUAACCUUCUCCCAUGGAGAGAGGACAAAAGCUAUAUCUGUGACAGCUAUGGCUGAUGCGUCUGUGCCAACUGCACAUGCGUUAUAUCUUAGUACGGCCACCUCUACAGCAACAUCAGGCAGCCAAGUCAAGCUCAGGUCAGGCUAUACAGUAGCAGAAGUUGAGCCAUUGGGGAUCUACCAGUUCUCCCCUGAAUCCCGCCAACUAGUCAUUGAGGAGGACAUUCAGACUAUAACGCUCUAUGUCCAGAGGCUCUACGGUUCUCGUAGCAACAGCAGUCGCCUGUCCUACACAACAAUAGCAGGCAGUGCAGCUACAGGAGUUGAUUUCAUCUCUGUGCCCGAUGGACGUUUGGCUUUUGAAUCUGCUCAGCAAACCAACACUUCCCUCCAUCUUUCAAUCCUUGAUGAUGCUCUUUCAGAACCGGAUGAAUAUUUUCACGUCAAUCUCACAGAUGUUGAAGUCCUCACUCCAGAUAUGAUUUGGGCAGGUGUCGUCCCUCGUCUUAACCCACCUCACAGUCUGGCAACUGUCACCAUCCUGGCGAGUGAUGUGACCAGUGGAGUGCUGAGUAUCGGACCUGGACUGAUCAAAGUACCUGAGGAUAACGAUGUUGAGAGCCAGCAGGAGCGGAAAGUGGUUCUGAGGGUUCGCAGGUCGGAUAGUGUGGCUGGAGAUGUGCGAGUUCAGGUUAAAGCAUAUGGAGAUGGAAGUGCAACACCGUUCCCCUUCACCCAUGAACCUGUUCAGCCUUUAGCAAAAGAGAAUCAGGACUUCCACUUGGAGUCCUCCAUCGUGCUCUUGCAGGCUGGGCAGAAUGAGACAGAGGUGAUCCUCUUUAUUCUGGAUGACUCGGAACCAGAAGGACAGGAGGUGUUCUACAUCUAUCUCAGUGAUCCUGAGGGAGGGGCUCAGAUCACUGACAGUCCAGAUCAGGGAUUUGGAGCUUUUGCCAAAAUCACCAUUCUCGGGAGUGAUUUCCAUAAUGGUAUUGUAGGCUUCAGUUACAAUUCUCUGAUGGGUCAUGUUCUGGAAGAAGACUCAGAGAACAGAACACUUAAGCUCUCACUGCAGAGGCAGCAAAACAGAGCCUUUGAGGAUUUGCAGAUUUUCUGGAGAGCUACUUUUAACAAAGCAGCUCCAACUCUUGUCAGUAAUGGAGUGAACCUAACCAAACAGCUUGUGCACACAUCAGGAUUUGUACUAUGUAGAAGAGGAGAGAUAACCUGUGCUUUUACUUUGGAGGUCCAGGAUGAUGAGGAACCAGAGUACCAUACUUGGUUCUUAGUGGAAAUUUUCCAAGUGGGCGCCGGCGCCACAAUUAAUGAGACCAGCCGAUUUGCCAACAUCACUCUGGCAGACAGUGACGAUCCGCGAGGCGUCGUGUACUUUGCCAUCAGCCACAGACUGCCCACCGCCACUCCAACGACCACAAGACUGAGUCUCCAGGUGGAUAGACGUGCAAGCACAGCGUCAGCCAUGUCUGUAUGGUAUCGCACUCUGGAGCUGCCCGGGGAGGAUUUGUUUGGACCAUAUGUAAUCCAUCCAGCUAAAGCCGGAAUGGAUUUCCCUAGGCAGGACGGCAUGCUUACCUUUAAUGAAGGUCAUCGCAAUGCAUCUCUGGACAUUUAUCUAACCCCUGAGCUUGCGUCACCCUUACCCAGGCCUAAACGCUUCCAAGUGGAGCUGUUCAACGCUACAGGGGGCGCCCAAGUGCACCCAGAGUUUGGCCUCGCAAAUGUGACAAUAGUGUCAAAUGUUGCCAAUGCAGCUAUGUGGGCCUUGCUGGAGAAGUUGCAUCAACCUCUUGAUACGACAAUAUUGAACCAGAUGUUACACGGACUCAUCGACCGGACUGCUACCAUGUUACCUCGAGAACAGAUGACUGCUGUGCUUGAAGCUCUGAGGAAGAUACUUGUAGUGGCCGACAGCACCUCUAUGCAUGAAAGCAGCCGCAAUUUGACCUAUGACCUGCUAUGCACGUUGGCCAACCCCAGCAGAGCCGACACACGGGGCCUCAGCCACCUUGCAGAGGUGGCUGAACGAUUUGCCUUCUCCUUCCUCACACACAGUCACUGUGACAUGGGGGGUUAUAUAUUGGACUCAUGUGCACACAUGUCCAUGAGUGCCUUCCAGUGGUAUCCCACACAAAUCAAUGGACACACAUUCAGGGGGCGUAAUGCAGACUUCUUCCAGCUUCCAGAUACACUGCUGGCGGUGCCGGCCGUAACCACCCCUGACUGUCGCAAUCUCAGCCGCAUUCAGAUCAUUGAGUUUAGAAAUGAACUCUGGUUUCUCACCAAUGAUACAGCAAAUGUUCUCAAUGGCAAGGUUUUCUCCGUCAGCUUACAGGACAGACGAUCAAGACCCCUUGGAGAUGGUAUAGAGGUGAUAUAUCGUAUCCACACUACUGGUCAGCCACUUAAACCAGGACGUUCUAUGUGCCUUCUCUGGAACCAGACUACUUCAAGCUGGUCAUCAGAUGGUCAGUACUGCAGGGUAGUGAAAGAGAGUGGGAGCUUUGUGGAGUGUGCCUGCUCCCACAUGUCUAUCUACACGGCCUAUGCAGAGUUUGCCCCCAUGGCAUCAUACAACCAGGCCUUCUACGCCUCAGGGUUCAUCUGCAUCUCUGGUUUUGCACUGGCCAUCAUAGCCCACAUCCUGUGCUCCCGUUUCCCUAUGUUUGCUGCCAAACUGCUGGUUCACUUGAUGGUGAGCUGCCUAGGAACACAGAUCUGCUUCCUGGUAUCGGCUUUCCGUGGACGGGUGUUUGCUGAGGACAGCUGUGCAACUCUGGCGCUCUUCUCUCACUAUUUCCACCUCAGCCAGUUUUUUUGGAUGCUAAUACAGGCGGUGAACUUCUGGCAGAUUCUUGUAAUGAAUGAUGAGCACACAGAGCGCCGAUAUCUUCUCUAUUUCAUGUUGGGCUGGGGUCUUCCUGCUCUCGUCAUCAUCAUCCUGGUAAUCGUGCUGCUUGGAGGCUUCGGCUGGAGCAUCCAUGCUGUCUAUGGAUUGGUGCAAGGUGACGUGUGCUUCAUCCCGAACGUCUAUGCAGCUCUGUGCACAGCUGUGCUGGUCCCUCUCAUCUGCCUGGUUGCUGUGCUGGUCGUCUUCAUCCAUGCCUACCAAGUCUCUCAGCAGUGGAAGGCCUAUGAUGAUGUCUACCGCGGACGCACAAACAGCACAGAAGUGCCGCUGAUCCUCUGCCUGUUCCUGCUCAUAUCUCUGGUGUGGUUGUGGGCCGGACUUCAUAUGGGCUACAAGCACCUGUGGAUGCUCAUCCUCUACAUCAUCUCUAACAGCCUGCUGGGUCUGUAUGUGUUUGCAGUCUACUUUGUUAUGCACAACCAACUUUGUUGGCCCACUAAAGCUACUUACACAGUGGAGAUGAGCGGCCAUGACAGUCCAGACUCCAAUUACCAAGGCGGGGGACCCACCACUGUUGGGGCUGACAUCAACAAAUCAACACAGAACCUCAUCACUGCAAUGGAAGAGGUAUCAACAGACUGGGAACGGACAUCAUUAAGGACCAGUACUCAGCCCACGAGUGGUUUCAAGCCCAGUCCAGUGAUGGAGACAUACACCACUGAAGGUGGCUUCAUCAACACCAACCUGGUCACUGCAGACGAGGAGUCCCAGGAGUUUGAUGACCUCAUAUUUGCCUUAAAAACGGGGAGCGGCCUUAACAUGAGCGACAAUGAGUCCAUCCCGGGCAGCCAUGAUGGCGGGAGUGUAAGCAGCUCCCAGAUCGUGGAGCUCAGAAGGAUCCCCAUCGCUGACACACACCUCUAACCUUACCCAGCACAAGACAGUAUUUUUAUACCAUGACAUUUGUUUGCACUAAAAUAUUGUAAAAUAUUGUUGUUUUUUUGUGGAAUAGUACAUUUUCAUAUAGCGCUUUGAUAUCAUUUUUACAGUUUUUAUAUGGCUGUAUGAACUUCAAUAUCAAAAUGUUUUAGUAAAUUAAAAGUGAGUGUAUAUUUGGGAAAUUUUUUAGCAAACUAAUAAACAUUCUUAAAUAAUAUUCUGUCUAUUUUAAAUUGGGCUGUGCUGAGUUAAUUAUGUAGUAAUGCUCUGUACAUUCUGCUUUUUUAAGUUUAACUACAGGAGAGGCUGUGUACUGCUUCCCACCAUGGUUAUGUAAGUGAGCCUGCAUGGGAUAAGAGGUCAAGACCUCUCCAAUGAUGGUCAAUGCUCUGUUAGAAUUCUGCAAUGUGGUUCCACUGGAGGCAAUGAGGACACGACACCAAUAUGCAGGCAGGAUGCUGGAGGUCAUCAUCCCACUCGUGGCCCGUGGGCCAUUUGCGGCCGUCAAAUUAUAUUUUCUGGCCCGCAACUUGACAUCAAAUGUAGUGUAAUGGCAGCCCGUGACAUCCAAGCAAGUUUAGUGUUUCUUACAGGAGCAAGUAAACACUGAACUAACAGUGGUGUUUUCUCGUGGAGACAGGGGGGUCUCUAUACAGAACACUACCCACAAUCACGGUGCUAACACAAAAUGACAGCACAUGACGUGACAGGUAAGUAAACACACAUAGGGGAAUAAUAGACAACUACGUUAGCUCUAAACAACUUCAGCAACUUUUUCCAAACCAAGAGCCACAAUGCAUGCUGAGAGUCGGCAUCACUCCCAAUUAGGGGUAUGCCAAAACAUCUUUAUCUCAAAAUGUCUCGAUAUUAAACCCUACUAUGGAUUAUUGUUACGCUCUCACCUUGUAUCAUUUUUUUUUAUUAUUGUAUAACUAUAGCCGCUAUAAACUUCUAGCGACGUCCCUUCUCAGUGAGCCAAGUCGCCAUUUUACAUGUCAUCUCGGAAGAGCUCCUCUCCAGAACGGCAGAAAAUCGGGCAGAAACCUCAGAAGAAGAAGAAGAAACAAAUAAACCACACGUAACAGCAGACUCGGCCGGUGAAGCUAAAUGGAAAGAUCGGGUAGCAUCGUUAAAAUUAAAAAUGAGAACUCACUUUAUCUUUUAUAGCAUGGACGAUUUUGCAAUAUGGAAGAAGAGUCUGACAAAAGUAGGACACACGGGCGGCACGACAGACAUGAACAUACGGCCAUACUACACUAUUUAUUUUUAUUAUGCUUCUACUUUAUAGAGUUGAGCUACGUGAGAGACAUGAGAUGUUUUUUUUCUGAAUGAGUUUAAAACUGUGUCACUGUCACUGUGUAAACAGUCUCAUUCUUUUUGCAGAAUUGCUGCUUGCAUUCUGGUUCAAAUAUGCUGCAAACAUUCUGUCCAUUUUCUAUACCGUUUGUCCUAAUUAGUGUCACGUGUAAGCAGGAGCCCAGCUGAAUGCAGCAAAAUACAAACUAUUUUAAUAGUUGAUUUAUUUUUUGUGUCACCCUAUCACUGUAUCAAGAUAUUAUAGUUAUUGGGAGCCAUGUAUCGUGAAUCGUAUCGUAUCGUAUCGUGAGGUACCCAGAGGUUCCCAGCCCUACUCCCAAUACUUAACGCGGCCCAGCCUCUACCUCCAGUGGGCCCCAGUGAAAUAGAGUUUGAGACCCCUGGUGUAGAUGGUGCAGAUAAGCAGAGAGUAGACAAACACUGCAAUGGAAUUUUCUCCCUUCCAUCUGCUCAUGACUUCAUCGGGGGACAAAAAAAAAAAAG